UACGGAGGGGGCUAGCGUUAUUCGGAAUUACUGGGCGUAAAGGGCGCGUAGGCGGCCUGCUAAGUCGAACGUGAAAUCCCUGGGCUCAACCCAGGAACUGCGUCCGAUACUGGUUGGCUUGAAUCCGGGAGAGGGAUGUGGAAUUCCAGGUGUAGCGGUGAAAUGCGUAGAUAUCUGGAGGAACACCGGUGGCGAAGGCGACAUCCUGGACCGGCAUUGACGCUGAGGCGCGAAAGCCAGGGGAGCAAACGGG
rnacentral:rRNA from 1 species